rnacentral:pre_miRNA from 1 species
UACUUACUCCCUCCGUUCCAAAUUACUCGUCGCAAAAAUGGAUGUAUCUAGAACUAAAAUACAUCUAGAUACAUCCAUACUUGUGACAAGUAAUUUGAAACGAAGGGAGUAUGAA